AAAAGGGAAGUGUCUGAUGUUGUGGCUCGACAACAGAAGGAGAUUAAAAAAAUUAAAAGCCAAACUCCAAUCCCUUAAACAGAAGAAAAACACUGCCGAACAAGAGGAAGAAGGAGAGGUGGCUGGUGAGACGUAUGUUCCACAACAGUACGCUCGUGAGGAUGAGGGUCCACCACAAACCUAUGCUGAGGAGUUUGUUUCCCUCAACAAGCCAGCUCUCCGGUACAAUUUCGAUGACCAUUCGGCCUUUGAUCAACAAGUAUAUCUUUGCUCUAACAAUAUCGACAACAUUGUGGCCCGAGCGAAUCUGUACGAGCAUUUUGGUAAAAUCACUGUUCACUGCACGUACUACGAUGAUUCACAUGCCCAGGUUCUGAUUUCAGAAAUGCUGCAAGAGGAUGUUGAAAUCCUAAUCUCAAUUGAAGGGUGCAGAUAUGUUAGGGAAGUACCAAAUAUUCCUUCCUUGGCCUAAACACUUAAUUGUAACACCCAAGGGUCCACUCGCUCAACCGCCUUCAAGACGUGAUGCGUCAAAGGGGAAAGCUCCCAUGCUUUCUCCACAAGGCGGUCAUAAUCAAGAAGAUGAAUUAUUCUCGCAAAAGGUCAUGGACAAGAUCCCUAAAUUGCUAAAAUAGAUGGUACGUUGUUGAAUUUCUGAACCUCAAAGAUAAAUGUGAUAUAAUCACAAUUCUUGUACCCCGAGGAUUGAUAGCACCGCAUACCCAGAUCACGUUAUCUGGAGAGGAUUUGCAGCAGGUUGCAUUGUGUGACUUGAUCAGCAACCAGGGAAUGCUGUUUGGAAUUAUGUAUACUCUUCUUUAAUCUAAUAACCUUAUAUACAAAAUUCUAGUCAAAUUAUUAUAAUAAGACACUAAUACUUAACAAUUUUUUUGACAGGCGCAUAUGGGAGAGCAUCAACAGUUUGAGAAAGUUUUUCAAGUUUUACGACCCAGAGCUUCUCGUAGUGAGUGGUAGCAACGAUGAAGAGAAGAGUCAGUCUUUUGACAAUGCGGCAAGACGAUUGGCUGCUUGGUUAUCAUCGAUGAAUAACAACCACCAAAUGUUCUUUAUUCCUUAGAAUAUCAGGUAAGGGCAAGGCUAAAGUUGAGGAGCCGUGAGUACGAGCAGAUACAUGUCGGGGCGGUUAGGCCUGGAGCGUACGAUCUUUGGGACAUCAAGGCUUUUGUUGUAUAGUCGCUGGGCGACAAGCUUUUGUUUAUGUGUAUAGCAAACUUUUAAAAAGUGUUUUGUAAACGGGAUCCCGAAAUUUUAUAUAUGUAAUACUUUAAGUUUUUAAUUAAAUAAGCAAAUUUUAAUUAAUCACGUUUUUCAUUA